rnacentral:rRNA from 1 species
CUGGCUCAGGAUGAACGCUGGCGGCGUGCCUAACACAUGCAAGUCGAACGAAGCACUUCUGGUUGAGAUUCGUCAAGAACCGGAAUUGACUUAGUGGCGGACGGGUGAGUAAUGUAUGAGCAACCUGCCUUUCAGAGGGGGACAACAGUUGGAAACGACUGCUAAUACCGCAUAAUGUUUCGAGAGGGCAUCCUUUUGAAACCAAAGGAGCAAUCCGCUGAAAGAUGGGCUCAUAUCUGAUUAGUUAGUUGGUGAGGUAACGGCUCACCAAGACUGCGAUCAGUAGCCGGACUGAGAGGUUGAACGGCCACAUUGGGACUGAGAUACGGCCCAGACUCCUACGGGAGGCAGCAGUGGGGAAUAUUGGGCAAUGGGCGAAAGCCUGAACCCCAGCAACGCCGCGUGAAGGAAGAAGGUCUUCGGAUUGUAAACUUCUUUUAUGAGGGACGAAGGAUGUGACGGUACCUCAUGAAUAAGCCACGGCUAACUACGUGCCAGCCGCCGC